UGCCUAAUACAUGCAGUCGAACGAAACUUUCUUACACCGAAUGCUUGCAUUCAUCGUAAGAAGUUGAGUGGCGGACGGGUGAGUAACACGUGGGUAACCUGCCUAAAAGAAGGGGAUAACACUUGGAAACAGGUGCUAAUACCGUAUAUCUCUAAGGAUCGCAUGGUCCUUAGAUGAAAGAUGGUUCUGCUAUCGCUUUUAGAUGGACCCGCGGCGUAUUAACUAGUUGGUGGGGUAACGGCCUACCAAGGUGAUGAUACGUAGCCGAACUGAGAGGUUGAUCGGCCACAUUGGGACUGAGACACGGCCCAAACUCCUACGGGAGGCAGCAGUAGGGAAUCUUCCACAAUGGACGCAAGUCUGAUGGAGCAACGCCGCGUGAGUGAAGAAGGUCUUCGGAUCGUAAAACUCUGUUGUUAGAGAAGAACACGAGUGAGAGUAACUGUUCAUUCGAUGACGGUAUCUAACCAGCAAGUCACGGCUAACUACGUGCCAGCAGCCGCGGUAAUACGUAGGUGGCAAGCGUUGUCCGGAUUUAUUGGGCGUAAAGGGAACGCAGGCGGUCUUUUAAGUCUGAUGUGAAAGCCUUCGGCUUAACCGGAGUAGUGCAUUGGAAACUGGAAGACUUGAGCGCAGAAGAGGAGAGUGGAACUCCAUGUGUAGCGGUGAAAUGCGUAGAUAUAUGGAAGAACACCAGUGGCGAAAGCGGCUCUCUGGUCUGUAACUGACGCUGAGGUUCGAAAGCGUGGGUAGCAAACAGGAUUAGAUACCCUGGUAGUCCACGCCGUAAACGAUGAAUGCUAGGUGUUGGAGGGUUUCCGCUCUUCAGUGCCGCAGCUAACGCAAUAAGCAUUCCGCCUGGGGAGUACGANCGCAAGGUUGAAACUCAAAGGAAUUGACGGGGGCCCGCACAAGCGGUGGAGCAUGUGGUUUAAUUCGAAGCAACGCGAAGAACCUUACCAGGUCUUGACAUCCUUUGACCACC
rnacentral:rRNA from 1 species